CUGAAAUACUCUUAAAACUACAUUUUGUGAAACAUUAGAUGAUAUUUUUUUAAACUUGCGGGUCUGCACAGCGGGGUAUUGUCCAUUGACUUUCACUUAGCAUUAGCAGCCAGCAAAUUUGAAUUCGUGUUGUCCAAUAGGAUUUUUGCCCGCGCCGUGCAUUCAUAAUGCCAGCUGAUUACGUGUGACGGUUAAUCUCCAGCUGUUGCACUGUUGUUCUGACGCUCUUCUCGGCGUCGAUGGAGGAUGGACCUGAAGGACGCAUAGAAGCUGGAAUACGCUCGUGAAGACGAAGCACAGACAUUUGCAGAAAAUGAAGUGGACGAGGAAGCAGUAGAGUGUAAUAACGUGAUUGCUGCAAUUGGUGAGGAUGCAUCAUCUUUUGAGAGUAAUGCGAAUGUCCUGCGUAUCCAGUGAAAUAAGGUGUGUGACCCUUUAUUAAAAACACCCUUGUCAGUGAGAUCACACAUUUUAAAUCAGUUCUCAGUUUAAAUGAAAAGUUUAAUGUCAGUAAUAGCCAAAGUGUAGGAUCAAAUGACUAUUAUAAAUGUUAUGACUAUCGUAAAAAAUUUUUAAUUUUUAAGCUUUGUGGUGAACAUAUGUGCAUUCAAGCUUACAACUAUUUGUACAAUGAUAACUAAAGGGAAAUGGCAACAAAGAAUAUUAGAUAAUGUUUUUAGUUAAAGUGAAUCACUAAUUUCCUUUUUGUUUAUUAUAG